GAUGAACGCUGGCGGCGUGCCUAAUACAUGCAAGUCGAGCGAACAGGCGAGGAGCUUGCUCCUCUGACGUUAGCGGCGGACGGGUGAGUAACACGUGGAUAACCUACCUAUAAGACUGGGAUAACUUCGGGAAACCGGAGCUAAUACCGGAUAAUAUAUUGAACCGCAUGGUUCAAUAGUGAAAGACGGUUUUGCUGUCACUUAUAGAUGGAUCCGCGCCGCAUUAGCUAGUUGGUAAGGUAACGGCUUACCAAGGCAACGAUGCGUAGCCGACCUGAGAGGGUGAUCGGCCCCACUGGAACUGAGACACGGUCCAGACUCCUACGGGAGGCAGCAGUAGGGAAUCUUCCGCAAUGGGCGAAAGCCUGACGGAGCAACGCCGCGUGAGUGAUGAAGGUCUUCGGAUCGUAAAACUCUGUUAUUAGGGAAGAACAAAUGUGUAAGUAACUAUGCACGUCUUGACGGUACCUAAUCAGAAAGCCACGGCUAACUACGUG
rnacentral:rRNA from 1 species